GAUAAGGUGGCUGAAUUAUAGGCUAUAAAUUGUAAAUUUAUAAAUGGUUUAAAACCUCUUAUCA
rnacentral:tRNA from 1 species